UGGGGAAUAUUGGACAAUGGGCGAAAGCCUGAUCCAGCCAUGCCGCGUGUGUGAAGAAGGUCUUCGGAUUGUAAAGCACUUUAAGUUGGGAGGAAGGGUUGUAGAUUAAUACUCUGCAAUUUUGACGUUACCGACAGAAUAAGCACCGGCUAACUCUGUGCCAGCAGCCGCGGUAAUACAGAGGGUGCAAGCGUUAAUCGGAAUUACUGGGCGUAUAGCGCGCGUAGGUGGUUUGUUAAGUUGGAUGUGAAAUCCCCGGGCUCAACCUGGGAACUGCAUUCAAAACUGACUGACUAGAGUAUGGUAGAGGGUGGUGGAAUUUCCUGUGUAGCGGUGAAAUGCGUAGAUAUAGGAAGGAACACCAGUGGCAAAGGCGACCACCUGGACUAAUACUGACACUGAGGUGCGAAAGCGUGGGGAGCAAACAGG
rnacentral:rRNA from 1 species